rnacentral:rRNA from 1 species
UACGAAGGGUGCAAACGUUGCUCGGAAUUAUUGGGCGUAAAGCGCACGUGGGCGGCUCAACAAGUCGGAUGUGAAAUCCCUCGGCUCAACCAAGGAAGUGCACCCGAAACUGUCGAGCUUGAAUAUGGAAGAGGGUCGCGGAAUUCCCGGUGUAGAGGUGAAAUUCGUAGAUAUCGGGAGGAACACCAGUGGCGAAGGCGGCGACCUGGGCCAAUAUUGAUGCUGAGGUGCGAAAGCGUGGGGAGCAAACAGG